rnacentral:lncRNA from 1 species
UUUGAGAUACUUGAAUUAUUGAUUUGUGAGUAUUCUCUUAGCGGAAAUUAUUCUUGCCUUCUCUCUAUUCUCUCUCUCCUCCCUUUUAGUGGAUUCUUACAAUUUGUAAAUGGGUGUGUGAGAGCUGUAUCCUUGAAAUGGUUGGCCAAAGUGAUGAUUUCAUCCUUGGAAGAGAUUGAUUCGCCCCUGCUCCUCUUCCAAUUAUCGUCUGCCCUCCUAUUGUACGUGCUAUAGUGGGGUUUCUAGCUCGCCACAAUCGGUUGUGUUCACUUUCUCUUCCUUCUUUGAAUUUUCAGCACAAGUUCAACACCUCUUGGCAUCAUAAUCUCUUCAUUUAGGUGCUUGAAUCAUCAUGUUGAUAAAGUUCUUGUUGUAUGAGUAGACUCUCUUUCUCAAGAAUCCUGUGUGAAAAGUUUUUGAUGUCUUAUUUAGUUGCCAGUGAUUUUCUUCAGGUUUUAAUGGUCAAAGUGCAGAAGGAGAUUGCAUGGGAUGCGGGUAACAAAUUUUGAGUUUUUUAAGGUUUUUGGGACCUACUUAUGUAUAAAUUGGACUUAGGCGUCUCUCUUGUUUUUGACUCUACCUUGAACAUAAUUUUACUAGGGAAGUUUAAGUUGCUUAAAGAUUUGGAACUUGUCUCGACACAAAUAAUGGAUUUUUGGGGGUUGUUUUCUUUCAUCUCCACCACUUAUGGCCCGUAAAAAAUAUUGGACUGCUAAUGGUCUUGCCAGUUUGCUUAGUCACUAUUCAUCCUUUUUUCUGCUAUCUACUAUUUGUUUCCUUCUCCUACGUCCAUACUCUUUAUUUACCCUCAACCUUCUCCACU